rnacentral:rRNA from 1 species
UACGUAGGGUGCAAGCGUUGUCCGGAAUCAUUGGGCGUAAAGGGCUCGUAGGCGGUCCGUCACGUCGGGAGUGAAAACUUGGGGCUCAACCCCAAGCCUGCUUCCGAUACGGGCGGACUAGAGGUAGGCAGGGGAGAACGGAAUUCCUGGUGUAGCGGUGGAAUGCGCAGAUAUCAGGAGGAACACCGGUGGCGAAGGCGGUUCUCUGGGCCUUACCUGACGCUGAGGAGCGAAAGCGUGGGGAGCGAACAG